AUUGAACGCUGGCGGCAUGCCUUACACAUGCAAGUCGAACGGCAGCACGGGUGCUUGCACCUGGUGGCGAGUGGCGCACGGGUGAGUAAUACAUCGGAACAUGUCCUGUAGUGGGGGAUAGCCCGGCGAAAGCCGGAUUAAUACCGCAUACGAUCUACGGAUGAAAGCGGGGGACCUUCGGGCCUCGCGCUUUAGGGUUGGCCGAUGGCUGAUUAGCUAGUUGGUGGGGUAAAGGCCUACCAAGGCGACGAUCAGUAGCUGGUCUGAGAGGACGACCAGCCACACUGGGACUGAGACACGGCCCAGACUCCUACGGGAAGCAGCAGUGGGGAAUUUUGGACAAUGGGCGAAAGCCUGAUCCAGCAAUGCCGCGUGUGUGAAGAAGGCCUUCGGGUUGUAAAGCACUUUUGUCCGGAAAGAAAACCUUGGCCCUAAUACGGUCGGGGGAUGACGGUACCGGAAGAAUAAGCACCGGCUAACUACGUG
rnacentral:rRNA from 1 species